CCCCCUGGCUUGCUCUUUGACUCUGGGCUCAACUACUCCUGUCUGCUCACUCUCAGCUCCAUUACUCCCCUCUAGCCCACAUGCUCUCUGACUCUGGGCUCAACUACUCCUGUCUGCUCACUCUCAGCUCCAUUACUCCCCUCUAGCCCACAUGCUCUCUGACUCUGGGCUCAACUACUCCUGUCUGCUAUCUCUCUCUCUGGGCUCGGCUGGUCGCCCUGGCCUGCUCUGUCUCUCUCUGGGAUCGAUUUGGCUUGGCGGCGCCUGUCUUCCCCGCUCUCUGGGCUCGAUUGCUCCCCCCUGGCUCUCUGUCUCUGGCCUCGGCUUGUCUCCCCUGGCCCCGCCCCUCACUUGACAUAGAAGAAGACGUUCAGGGCGUUGCAGUCCUCGUUGCACUCCAUCUCGCGGAACAGCAUCCGGAGUGGCCCAUCCUCCAGGAUCAUUUCCAGGUUGUCGGAGGCCAUGGCGGAGGUGCGCCAGGGCCCGGAGAGCUGGGGAGUGUAGGACCCCAAAAGCGGUGUCCUCUUGUGACGACCCCAGAAACACAGACUCCAGACCAGACGAUGCAAUAGAGCAGGAGGGAGGUGAAGAAAUGACGCGCAUUAAUGAUACGGCUGAAGAAACAACGCAAAGUAGUGAUGCGAAUUAGUGAUGCGAAGUAAUGAUGUGAAGAAAUGAUAUGAAUUCAUGACGAGAAUUAAUACUGGGAACUAAUGAUGCAAAUUUAUGAUACCUGGGCAGGGUCGAUGUCCGCACAGGCCACGCCCACCGUGAGGGCGAGGAGGAGAGCCUUCGUCACCGUCAUCUUCAUCACCAUCGUCUUCGUAGUCGUCUGAGCCGGCGGGGACCCGGCGUCUAUUUAUUGCCAGGGCUGGGGGAGGAGUUGGCGGGGCCGAAGGUUGUGCAAACAUCCUGGUGGACACCAGGGACGUUCCGGAACGGUCAGUGCUCCCAGGGAAUUCUGGGAGAGUCUGUCGUGCGUUCUUGGGCCUUGGAAUUUUCCAGAACCCCUGGUGGGUGUUUCCAGGAUUCCAGAAUGUUCUAGAAUGCCCAGGGAAUGUCCUUGGAAUCGCGAGGAAUUCUGUGGAAUGUUCCAGAAUGUUCCAGAACACGUCCAGAGAGCCCGGCGCACGUCCUCGGGGCCUUAGAGUAUUCUAGAGCGCCUGGUCUUGGAGUGUUCCGGAAUACUGGCGGAUGACGUAGAAUUUUCUAGAAUGUUCGUAGGAUGCCCUGGACCGCUUGGCAGUCAGAUCCAUCGGAAAUGCCUUGAAAACAUGGUCGUGUAUAGACACGUUUGCUUCUUGAAAGGGUUUGCAGCUUCGUCGUCAGUACUGUCUCCUCAGUGACUUUAGAGCAGGAGAGAACAGGACACAGCAGACACUCUGAACAGCAACUUCAGUGAGUGAGUGAUGAAGUGCCCAGACGAGGGAGGCGCAGUGGGUGACACGUCGAUUCAGAAACGAGAGCAACUAGCCUGGGAUUACCAUGAGUGUGUUGGCAGAAGAAUUAAAACUUGAAAUAAGACUCCCGAAACGUACGCGCGGUCUUCACCACCUUGAACGAGUCUUGGUUUUUGCUGAUAGCCUCUUUUUUUUUUUUUUUUUGACAGGCAGGAGUGGACAGUGAGAGACAGAGAGACAGAGAGAAAGGUCUUCCUUUGCCGUUGGUUCACCCUCCAAUGGCCGCCGCGGCCGGCGCACCGCGCUGAUGCAAUGGCAGGGGCCAGGUACUUCUCCUGGUCUCCCAUGGGGUGCAGGGCCCAGGCACUUGGGCCAUCCUCCACUGCACUCCCGGGCCACAGCAGAGAGCUGGCCUGGAAGAGGGGCAACCGGGACAGAAUCCGGUGCCCUGACCGGGACUAAAACCCGGUGUGCUGGCGUCGCAGGUGGAGGAUUAGCCUGGUGAGCCGCGGCGCCGGCUUGUAUGAUUAUUUUCAUAAACUGUGCUUUGAACAGGGACACAAGUGAUUGAGCACAAGCCAUGCAGUGUCCUCUGAGCCACUCAGUGAUAGCUGAGGGUCUCCGUCCUUUAUAGACUUCAAGUUGUGAGCCAGGUGUUAGUGUCUGAAGGCACGCUACAUGAAGAGGUAGGGAGAGAUCACCUGUUGUGGGCCACUUUGUAAACCAUCUUGAAUGUCACACACUUGCCAUCUGACCAGAUGUGUGCACUGUCUGUUCUUCCCUAGUUUCUGCACCCAGCUGGACUUUCACAUUCAGAUAUGGCGGAGAAACCACUCCCUUAGGAUCCACUGAGUGCCCCUGACUGGAUCAGGAACUGUCGCAGAGUGACAGGUUCUGGGUCAGUCAGGGGCAGGCAGGAGAGCUAAGGACUUGGGGUUCCUGCCGCAGACUGACAGGUUCCCGGUCCUGUCAGGGGCAGGCAGGGGAGCCAAAGACGGCGUUUCUGGCCCUAGACUGGCAAGCUACCAGUCCCAUCAGCGGCAGGCAGGGGAGACAAGGAGGUGGGGUUCUGGCCCCAGACUGACAGGUUCCCAGUUCCAUCAAGGGCCGGCAGGGGAUCCAAGAGGUGGGGUUGUAGUCCGAGACUGUCCGGUUCUCAGGCCAGAAAGAGGCAGUCAGGGGAGCCAAGGAGGUGGGGUUCUGGCCGCAGAAUGACAGGCUCUGGUUCCAGUCAGGGGCAGGCAGGGUAGUGUAAGAGGAUGGUGUUCCUGCCACAGACAUACAAGUUCCCUGUCUAGUCAGGGACAAGCCGGGGAGCUAAGCAUGUGGGGUUCUGGCCGCACAUGGACAGGUUCCCGGUCCAUAUGGCCAGGCAGGGAAGCUAAGGCGUUCUGGCUAAGGUUCUGGCAGCAGCAUGACAGGUUCCUGGUCCCAUCGCGGGCAGUCAGGGGAGCCAAGGAGGUUGGUUCUGGCCACAGACUGACAGGUUCAGGUCUAUCAGGGGCAGGCAGGGGAGCUGAGGACAUGGGGAUCUGGCCACAGGCUGACAGGUUCCCGUUGCUGUCAGGGCAGCCCAAUGAGGUGGGGUUCUGGCUACAGAGUGACAGGUUCCUGGCCCCCUCAGGGAAAGUCAGGGGAGCCACGCAGGUUAGGCUCUGGUCGAGACUGACAGGUUCCGAGUCCCGUCACAGGUAGGCCAGGGAGCCUAAGGAAGCGGGGUUCUGGCCACUGGUGACAGUUGCAGGUCCAUCAAGGGUAGGGAGGGGUGCUGAUGGGGUGGGGUUCUGGCUGCAGACUCACAAGU